rnacentral:rRNA from 1 species
CUACGGGCGGCUGCAGUGGGGAAUAUUGCGCAAUGGGCGAAAGCCUGACGCAGCAACGCCGCGUGAGUGAUGAAGGCCUUCGGGUCGUAAAGCUCUGUCGGGAGGGAAGAACACCUUCGGGUCUGACGGUACCUCCCGAGGAAGCACAGGCUAACUCCGUGCCAGCAGCCGCGGUAAUACGGAGUGUGCAAGCGUUGUUCGGAAUUACUGGGCGUAAAGCGCGCGUAGGCGGCUUGAUAAGUCAGAUGUGAAAUCCCUCGGCUUAACCGAGGAACUGCAUUUGAAACUGUCAGGCUUGAGUACGGGAGGGGGAAGCGGAAUUCCCAGUGUAGAGGUGAAAUUCGUAGAUAUUGGGAGGAACACCAGCGGCGAAGGCGGCUUCCUGGACCGAUACUGACGCUGAGGCGCGAAAGCGUGGGGAGCAAACAGGAUUAGAUACCCGUGUAGUC